GAUGAACGCUGGCGGCGUGCCUAAUACAUGCAAGUCGAGCGAACGGAUGAGAAGCUUGCUUCUCUGAUGUUAGCGGCGGACGGGUGAGUAACACGUGGAUAACCUACCUAUAAGACUGGGAUAACUUCGGGAAACCGGAACUAAUACCGGAUAAUAUUUUGAACCGCAUGGUUCAAAAGUGAAAGACGGUCUUGCUGUCACUUAUAGAUGGAUCCGCGCUGCAUUAGCUAGUUGGUAAGGUAACGGCUUACCAAGGCAACGAUGCAUAGCCGACCUGAGAGGGUGAUCGGCCACACUGGAACUGAGACACGGUCCAGACUCCUACGGGAGGCAGCAGUAGGGAAUCUUCCGCAAUGGGCGAAAGCCUGACGGAGCAACGCCGCGUGAGUGAUGAAGGUCUUCGGAUCGUAAAACUCUGUUAUUAGGGAAGAACAUAUGUGUAAGUAACUGUGCACAUCUUGACGGUACCUAAUCAGAAAGCCACGGCUAACUACGUG
rnacentral:rRNA from 1 species